rnacentral:rRNA from 1 species
CGGUGGGGAUUAGUGGCGAACGGGUGAGUAACACGUGGGCAAUCUGCCCUUCACUCUGGGACAAGCCCUGGAAACGGGGUCUAAUACCGGAUACGACCAUCAGGGGCAUCCCUUGGUGGUGGAAAGCUCCGGCGGUGAAGGAUGAGCCCGCGGCCUAUCAGCUUGUUGGUGAGGUAAUGGCUCACCAAGGCGACGACGGGUAGCCGGCCUGAGAGGGCGACCGGCCACACUGGGACUGAGACACG